rnacentral:rRNA from 1 species
UACGUAGGUCCCGAGCGUUGUCCGGAUUUAUUGGGCGUAAAGCAAGCGCAGGUGGUUUAUUAAGUCUGGUGUAAAAGGCAGUGGCUCAACCAUUGUAUGCAUUGGAAACUGGUAGACUUGAGUGCAGGAGAGGAGAGUGGAAUUCCAUGUGUAGCGGUGAAAUGCGUAGAUAUAUGGAGGAACACCGGAGGCGAAAGCGGCUCUCUGGCCUGUAACUGACACUGAGGCUCGAAAGCGUGGGGAGCAAACAGG